rnacentral:rRNA from 1 species
GACGAACGCUGGCGGCGUGCCUAAUACAUGCAAGUGGGACGCAAGGAAACACACUGUGCUUGCACACCGUGUUUUCUUGAGUCGCGAACGGGUGAGUAACGCGUAGGUAACCUGCCUAUUAGCGGGGGAUAACUAUUGGAAACAUAGCUAAUACCGCAUAAUAUUAAUUAUUGCAUGAUAAUUGAUUGAAAGAUGCAAGCGCAUCACUAGUAGAUGGACCUGCGUUGUAUUAGCUAGUUGGUAAGGUAAGAGCUUACCAAGGCGACGAUACAUAGCCGACCUGAGAGGGUGAUCGGCCACACUGGGACUGAGACACGGCCCAGACUCCUACGGGAGGCAGCAGUAGGGAAUCUUCGGCAAUGGACGAAAGUCUGACCGAGCAACGCCGCGUGAGUGAAGAAGGUUUUCGGAUCGUAAAGCUCUGUUGUAAGUCAAGAACGUGUGUGAGAGUGGAAAGUUCACACAGUGAC